UACGGAGGGAGCUAGCGUUGUUCGGAAUUACUGGGCGUAAAGCGCACGUAGGCGGCUUUGUAAGUUAGAGGUGAAAGCCCGGGGCUCAACUCCGGAACUGCCUUUAAGACUGCAUCGCUAGAAUUGUGGAGAGGUGAGUGGAAUUCCGAGUGUAGAGGUGAAAUUCGUAGAUAUUCGGAAGAACACCAGUGGCGAAGGCGGCUCACUGGCCCGGUACUGACGCUGAGGUGCGAAAGCGUGGGGAGCAAACAGG
rnacentral:rRNA from 1 species